rnacentral:rRNA from 1 species
UACAGAGGUCCCAAGCGUUGUUCGGAUUCACUGGGCGUAAAGGGUGCGUAGGCGGGCAUUUAAGUCAGUGGUGAAAUACCUGAGCUUAACUUGGGAACUGCCAUUGAUACUAUUUGUCUUGAAUGUCGUGGAGGUUAGCGGAAUAUGUCAUGUAGCGGUGAAAUGCUUAGAUAUGACAUAGAACACCUAGUGCGAAGGCAGCUAACUACGCGAAUAUUGACGCUGAGGCACGAAAGCGUGGGGAUCAAACAGG